UGACCAGAUAGACAGAUGUUGUCCAGGUGUAUUGACAUGUUAGACAGAUGUUUUCCAGGUGUAUUGACAUGUUAGAGAGAUGUUGUCCAGGUGUAUUGACCAGAUAGACAGAUGUUGUCCAGGUGUAUUGACAUGUUAGAGAGAUGUUGU